rnacentral:tRNA from 1 species
GCGGGCGGUGGUGGAGGGCUGGCUGGAGCUGGAGCCGCCGGUGGCGGCCGAGCACGGUCGUUCCUGACGGCUUGAUCGCC